UAUAUUUGUCUUUGCUUUGGAUAGUGAAUGUUCUUCGAACGCUCCGAGGGAAUCAUGUGAAAAUCGUGAACUGUACCCGCAGCUGUAAGCUUCGUUAACUUUAGUCUCUACUGCCACUGUUUAUAAAAAUGGGAAGGCGACAAAAAGGAAGCAAGUCAGAAAACCUGCCAAACAUUAGUUUUUACU
rnacentral:ncRNA from 2 species